UUUUUUCCUUUUUUUUUUUUUUUUUUUUUUUUUUUUUUCCCCUAAAUAAAUGGAAAGCAGAGCUGUCGCUGAUGGAGAUGGAUGAGGCAGGGCUGGCAGCGCUGCAACCCUGCUCCGGCGUGGCCAUGGCACCGAUGGCAUAAGUGACCUUUCCCAGGCGGUGGGGAGGGGGGAUUCCCCCCCGCCCCAGCAUGCUCCUGCUCGGAAUUAAUUUUAAAUAGCAGGAGUAUUAUUUUUUAUUUUCCUUCCCCCCUCUCAUUUCUCCUUCAUUUUUUUUUUCCCCUGAAGCUUCCUCAUGAUUUUUUUUUUUUUUUUUUUUUCCUGUGUGUGUUUUGAAUUGCGUUUUAAAAUUGCCAAGCUGGAGACAAGGCUUGAUUAGACCUGGAACAAUAGCUCACUUUUAUUAAUAACGGGAAGGAUUUACAAUCGUACAGCACCUUCCUUGGAAAGCUUUCCAAACCGUUUGCAAACACUCAAAAAUUUCAGAUUGUGCAGCCCUUGGCUGUGAGGUGGUCCCUAAGUGACCUCCUGCAGCGCUGCCUCCACUGCGGUUCCACCACAGCUUUGCACUGGAGCACUAAUGUGUGUCCCUGUGAGCUCGAGUGACCUUGCUGGGGGGACUGGGCCCACCGAGCGAUUCAGGGCAGAUCCCUACAGACACCUGGAUCCAGGAGUCACCCAGGCAGUGUGAUCUGGCCUUGCCAGAAGCUUGAGGGACAAGGCUCCAGCCAUGUCUGUGUGUGUCACACGCGGGCCGCACAAACCUGCAGUGUUCCUGUGGUUACUUCUGUCUGCAGAGUCUGAGUGGGUCCCAGGGCCUCCCCUUCCCACUGCUUGCUGGUUCACAAAGCCUGAUGCUUCUGGAAAAAGCUCUGCCUUGUGGCCUUUAAAAUAAAUAAAUAAAGCGGCACUGCUGUGGA